rnacentral:tRNA from 1 species
UACUUGAAUAGCUUAUGUAGAGCGCGACGCUGAAGAUGUCGAUGAGGUAUUUGAUACCUUUAAGUA